rnacentral:misc_RNA from 1 species
UUGCCGCGCGCCUGCAUGUCGUCCAGCAGCCGGUCGACGAGGGCGAUCAGCCCCGGCUCCAUCUCGGCGAUGGCGCGCGGAUUGAGCGCCCCGGCGAUCAGGCGGCGCACGCGCGUGUGCAACGGCGGGUCNGGCGGAUCAUUGAACACGAGGCUCGUGGUGUGAUGCUGAAACAGCAGCGAGCCGUCGCCGUAUUUCGGCGCGAACUCGACUUUCUUGUCGGAGCUGAAGCGCGUCGUAUCCUUGUAGAUGGCUUCCAGAUCGCGGUGCCGGGUCAGGAACAGCGAGCCGUCCGGCAUCUGAUGGAUCG